rnacentral:rRNA from 1 species
GAUGAACGCUAGCUACAGGCUUAACACAUGCAAGUCGAGGGGCAGCAUGGGACAGCAAUGUCCCGAUGGCGACCGGCGCACGGGUGAGUAACACGUAUCCAACCUGCCCAUGACCAGGGAAUAACCCGCGGAAACGCGGCCUAAUGCCCUAUGUGCUCCGAAGGGGACAUCCGAUUUGGAGUAAAGAUUGAUCGGUCAUGGAUGGGGAUGCGUCCGAUUAGGUAGUAGGCGGGGCAACGGCCCACCUAGCCUGCGAUCGGUAGGGGUUCUGAGAGGAAGGUCCCCCACAUUGGAACUGAGACACGGUCCAAACUCCUAACGGGAGGCAGCAGUGAGGAAUAUUGGUCAAUGGGCGAGAGCCUGAACCAGCCAAGUAGCGUGCAGGAUGACGGCCCUAUGGGUUGUAAACUGCUUUUCUGAAGGAAGAUUAUGACGGUACUUCAGGAAUAAGGAUCGGCUAACUACGUGCCAGCAGCCGCGGUAAAAUCACGUGUAA